CUCACAAGAGAGAGGCCGUCAGAUUCAGAUAUGCGCAGGGAGAUGAUAAGCUUUCAGAUCAGAUCAGCUCAGUCACGCGUUACACCUCCAUGCAUUGUCAAGUCUACUCCUAUGGAUUCCUCCAGCCACGUGGCGCACCGAAGUGCGGGAGAAUGACUUGGUGGUGGGUGUCAAAAACAACCUCGAUCCCUGACUGACGGUCACAAGACGGGGCACUGAGUCACUGCAGAAUACUCGUAUAAACACGAGAAAGGAUCCACUGUUUUACUUUGUUUGGUCUGCUUAGAAAUUUGCUACUAUUACAGAAGGUUAAGUACAAUUUAAGUGCUAUAUGAAAAAAAGUAAAUAUGUGAAAUAAACAGUAAAGGUUUCAUA